AAUUGGACCUCUUAUUUGAGUUACAAUUAAAUAUAGCUUACACAUUAAUAUUUCCACCGCUCGUGGUGCAUGUAUUGAUCGAUUAUAUAGCUCUUCUUUGUGUAUUAUAGUGUUGUAUUAUAGUGUUGUUUUAGUUUUAUUUUGUACAGAAAGCUUGUUGAACUGUUUAACUGGUGUACUGUUUACAACCUGGAGUAAAUAUGGACAACUCAAUGUCCAUCCAAAGAUCUUGGGUAGAGAGUUACCUUGAUGAGCAGAGAAAGUUCAUCAGAGAGUUCCUGACUCUCCAGGAACAAGGUGUACUUCACCCAUACCUCAGUGUCAAUCACAUGAGGAGAUGGAUCAUCUCUGAUACAAGGAAGGCCUUCCUGAAAAGAUUUCAAGAAAUGGCAGAAGGGACAAACAUCCACCUCAUUGAGCUGAUGUUGAAGGUGAAAGCUCACAAUACACUCCUUGAGAUCGAGCAGGGAGUUCGUAGAGAGCUGAGCGUUACCCAAUGCCAACAUCACCAGUCUUCAGUAGAGGCAACCAUGGAGGGGCAGCAGCUCCUGACCAACAAGCCCAAGCCAUUGGUUCCUUCCCAUGAGCCUCUGGGGACUACAGCUGUGAUGAGUGGUGAUGUUGGAGGUGGUCUGUCAGACAAACAGGCCCAACCUGAGGUCAGGUCAGAGGUGAUGCUCCAGGUGAAGCCCCUCUGCCAAACUCCGGUGGGGGUCCGGGGUUGCCUGGUGGACAGUGUGAUUAAUGGAGAAGACCCGGAGAUUAAUGAUGAGGUCCUUGUGGCAGAACCAAUCCCCACUCCCCUCUUAUCCACAGCAGUGAUAGUCAGGGAGGUCCAGGAGUGCCUGGUGGACAAGGAGAAGACGGUUGAGGUUCUGGACCAGAGCAUUUCUCCAAGGAUCCAAAAGGCCCUGAGAGACAUUGAGGCCAUGGUGAACUCCAGAAAGAAGUCCAAGGUCGUGCCAAAGCAGCUUGUGGUACUUGGUUUCACAAUCAAGCACAUUGUCACUCAGGUGCUGUCUCACUUAUAUCAACCAGCCUUUCAGGAAGAAGUCUGUUUGGAGACAGCUGCUAUCGUGGACGACACCCAAGCUCUUCUGUGGUCUAUUCCCUGGGUUCAAGUCACAGAGGAGGAGGAGCUGUCUAACUCCCAGUGCAUUGAUACCUCUGAGGUGACCAAGGCUGUCAUUAACACCCUGGAUAAGGUACUAGGCCCCAAACCACUGGUAGGAGCUCUGGGAAUAGGCUCACAGAUAUUGAGCAGGUACAUUGUUCAUCUUGUUGGCCUGUCCAUUGCUAAGACAGUACCUGACGUUUACGCUGCCAACGAAGAGGAGAGACAUAUUAGCCAGGAUAUGGUGAACAUCUGUCCUCUACCUGCUAAAUAUGUCAUCAGUGGAGAAUUAUUAGGUGACUUUGUGGUGAAGUUUAUGCUUCACCUUCACCCAAUGAACAGACUCGGCUCCAAGCAGCUCAGCCAACAGGCUCUCCUCUUACUGGUGGUUAAAAUGGCCUCAGUAGCUUUUCAUGUCUUGAGGAAGAUCCCGGGUGUUUCUGUGGAUGAACAGCUGUGUGCCCCCAUCUGCAACAUAAGACAGACGGUAUUACACAUGCAGAGUGCCUUGGUCCAUAAGUUUGGCACAACAAUCCAAAUAAAGCAUAUGAUGGCUAAUAAGGACCCGCUAGUCAUUUCCACAAUACCCCAGGCCAUAUGUGAGGGAAUCUUGGCUGUAUACAAGGGCAUCUCUGUAACCCAUCCACUUCAAGUCACUGGCCCACAUCGUCCAAUGGCCAAGAGCUAUGAAAAGGCUAUGGAGACAAAGUUGUUUGCAGUAACUCUACC
ensembl:lncRNA